rnacentral:rRNA from 1 species
ACGAACGCUGGCGGCAGGCCUAACACAUGCAAGUCGAGCGCGGACUUCGGUUCUAGCGGCGGACGGGUGAGUAACGCGUGGGAAUGUGCCCUUCUCUACGGAAUAGCCCUGGGAAACUGGGAGUAAUACCGUAUACGCCCUAUUGGGGAAAGAUUUAUCGGAGAAGGAUCAGCCCGCGUUGGAUUAGGUAGUUGGUGGGGUAAUGGCCUACCAAGCCGACGAUCCAUAGCUGGUUUGAGAGGAUGAUCAGCCACACUGGGACUGAGACACGGCCCAGACUCCUACGGGAGGCAGCAGUGGGGAAUCUUAGACAAUGGGGGCAACCCUGAUCUAGCCAUGCCGCGUGAGUGAUGAAGGCCUUAGGGUUGUAAAGCUCUUUCAGCUGGGAAGAUAAUGACGGUACCAGCAGAAGAAGCCCCGGCUAACUCCGUG